ACUUCAUUGGCUCAGGGGCAGAGCGUCUUUAUAGUAAAAAGAAGGUCGCUAGUUCGAUUCCAGCAUGAGGCA
rfam:Angiostrongylus costaricensis strain Costa Rica genome assembly, scaffold: ACOC_contig0003775